GAUGAAGAACGUAGCGAAAUGCGAUAAGUAAUGUGAAUUGCAGAAUUCAGUGAAUCAUCGAGUCUUUGAACGCACAUUGCGCCCCCUGGUAUUCCGGGGGGCAUGCCUGUCCGAGCGUCAUUGCUGCCCUCAAGCACGGCUUGUGUUUUGGGCCCCCGUCCCCGGUUUCCCCCGGGGACGGGCCCGAAAGGCAGCGGCGGCACCGCGUCCGGUCCUCGAGCGUAUGGGGCUUUGUCACCCGCUCUGUAGGCCCGGCCGGCGCCAGCCGACACCCAACUUUAUUUCUAAGGUUGACCUCGGAUCAGGUAGGGAUACCCGCUGAACUUAAGCAUAUCAUAAGCGGAGGA
rnacentral:misc_RNA from 1 species